CUUAGAGCGGAAGGAAGCUUUCAAACGGUGGCUGCUGCAAUAGGAGAGGUUUCUCAGGGACGGAGAUACCCUGGAGCCCAGGCAGGAAGAUGCCAGACCACAUCCUGUUCUGGAAACUACACCUCGCUUCCUCUACAACCAGCUGGGGCCCUGGAGAGAAAAGCCCCAGGGAGUGGAGCUUGGCAGGGAAUUGGCAGAGCCCCUCUGAGCCGGCAUCCUCCACACCCACAGAUCCUCUAGGACUACUGCAGUCUGAGGGACACACCCCAGCUUGGGAACAAAAUCAACUUCGUCAUGCCAGGAUGGCUAAGCCUCGGGCAACACUCUCUCUGUCACAGCCUUGAAAAAGUUCCUGAGUGCACAGUAGGAGCGUAAACUUCCUCAAGAAGAGACGGAACCAGUUGCCUCCCGCUAUCAAGAAGAAAGAAGAAACAAUUUCUACUGCCCAUCUGCCCCGUGAGAAACAGAAAAAGCCAACACAGCAGCUUCACAGCUGCUUCGGUUAUCAGUGCCCUGAACAGCGAUAGAGAAAAGCCAUUUCUACCCUUGAAAAGCGCCAGCUCUCCUCCCUCUACUUCCCACCCGAACAACUUCCCGGAGUGUGAGCCUGUCUGAUCUCACCCUACUGAGAGAAGGAAAGUGAAGCUGUGGUGUGGAGACCCUUGGAUGUCAGACCAAGACAAAGGAGACACUCGCUUACCUGCUGGACUCAAUGUGCCCACCAACCUCCAGACUUGACCUCGUGAGGACGUCACCAGCCUGGUCACGGUGACCCCCACCGGCAUAAAAAAGCCCCUUGCGGCUUGGGACAGGAUCCCUCUGUAGAUCUCUUCACAGAUCUAUGCAAGUGAAAGAACUGAAAAUGGUGCUUCUGCUGUGGAUUUGUUUCUAACAUGCCGCCACGACUCUUGACUUUUCCA